AAGUCGUAACAAGGUUUCCGUAGGUGAACCUGCGGAAGGAUCAUUAACACAUCCCUUUCUUAUCAACCAACGUGCACUUGGUUCGAGCCUAUCUGGAGAAGGUCCGCGGGUCGGGUUCGUCUCCCUCAUCAGAGGGGGAGGCCUGCUGGCUGUGCUUCCAUGUUUGGACUCCUCGCGGGUCCCUAUAUGAGGGGCAGCUUCGACUGGGUAGCGCACACAGUUCCAACCUGACUGGGAAAAAAAAUUCUUUUUUUUUCUACGUGACAUCUGAACGAAUCAAAGGGGGGAGGCUUCGGCCUCCUUUCGACUCUUCUCCUUCUCUUCGAGAGAGCGAGAAUAACAAAAACACAACUCUUAACAGCGGAUAUCUCGGUUCUC
rnacentral:misc_RNA from 1 species